UACGUAGGGGGCAAGCGUUGUCCGGAAUCAUUGGGCGUAAAGCGCGUGUAGGCGGUUCGGUAAGUCGGCUGUGAAAGUCCAGGGCUCAACCCUGGGAUGCCGGUCGAUACUGCCGGACUAGAGUUCGGAAGAGGCGAGUGGAAUUCCCGGUGUAGCGGUGAAAUGCGCAGAUAUCGGGAGGAACACCAAUGGCGAAGGCAGCUCGCUGGGACGUUACUGACGCUGAGA
rnacentral:rRNA from 1 species